CUUUUAUCCCGGCCAACCAAGUUUUUGUUUCUACCAAAUUUUUAAAUGAUUUUUGCAUUGCCACUGCUUUGUGUGACUGUCCGUUAUCAGAUUCAGGUUUUCCGGCACGCGAUUCUCGUUGCUCGCUCGUUCUGUUCUGAUGGUAAUGCAGAGUUUCUGAAAGGUCAACCGGAUACAAAUGAUGCUGGAGCUGAUCCGAAAGCUUAUACUGGAAUGGAAGUGAAAAAAACAAAGCAGACGGCAGCGCAUCAGCCCCGAUUCAAACAUCAACAAUUUAUCUAAGCGGCUUGUUGGCAUGGAUGCGGAACAAGAACGAGCUCCCCUAGGCCAACGUCAAAUGUAGGAUUGUGUUUCGUUGGGAAUCAUUCUGGAUUUGUGAACCGUCAAAGAUUUCCAUUGGAAUCCUUCGCCCUCGCCUUCGCCGUUAUUUUGGUUGAUGAUUCACCACAACGUAAAGCCAACAGGUAAGUGCGAUUGAAGAAGUAUAAAAUAAUUGCUGAUAAAUAUUACUUUGCAGCUUUCUGGACAAACCCGUCGUUUAAAAACACUUCAACUGCGGCAUUAAUCGUUUCAUAUUGCGACCAAAUUGGCUCUCUUGCACGGUGUAAUACGGAAAUCAGGAGGUGGCAGAAGCAUCCCUACUUAAGACUAUUCCGUGAUGUCAAAUUCAACGUGUAUUCGACGAGUCAGUGGCAUCGGUUUGGAAAACAUAUGUUCAGCGUGCGACGAUGUAAAAAUAAACUCGAGAUGCAGCAGGAGCAAAUCAUCAUUAGCAAGACCAAGCAGUUUGCGGACCAGGCCCAUCAGUAGCAAUCAAUUGCAUCGCUUCUAAACCGAGAUUUUCGGGUCCGCAACCGGCGUUGGGUCAGCCGGAGCCGAUGAGGAUGCCGAAGGUAAUGGCAACGGUACGUAGAGAAAAUUUCCUAGAUUCAGGCGAUCCGAAGGCGUUUCAAUCGGAAAUUGUAUUCGAGUCAUUAGCCGGCGUUUACGGCGGAGGAUCGAUCGGAUCACUGCAUAAGAAAUGUUAUUCGAGAGAGUACAAGUCUACAGUGACGUCGUACGAAGCCCGGGGAAGCUCUCAUCAAAUGCACUAAGCAAAGGUGAUCAAACAAUACUAGAAAAGUUUGGCGGAUUAGGAGGCUUCGUAGGCGAUCCAGUUCCGUUCUAGGAAAGGCUUGAAACUGCCGGUGAGUUGAAUUCAAAAUUGUGCAAAAAUAAGGACAAAAAUGAGCGAUUAAUUUUAUUUUGUUUGGGACACGACGCACGAGAUUUCAAAAGAAAUUGUUUAAGGGAAUCUACAGAGAUCCCUUAGGGAUUUCUAGAAUUUUUCAAGGGAUUUCGACAAUAAUACUUUUGAGAUUCCAAAAAGAAUUUUUUAGGGAUUUAAAACAGUGCGGUAAGACGCGCGGCUACAAAGCAAGACCAUGCUGAGGGUGGCUGGGUUCGAUUCCCGGUGCCGGUCUAGGCAAUUUUCGGAUUGGGCAUAAAAGUAUCAUCGUGCUAGCCUCAUGAUAUACGAAUGCAAAAAUGGUAACCUGGCUUAGAAACCUCGCAGUUAAUAACUGUGGAAGUGCUUAAUGAACACUAAGCUGCGAGGCGGCUCUGUCCCAGUGC